GGAGUAGAGACCAGCGCGUCAAGUACCGGUUGGAUGGGAGGUUGCCGCCGGGCGAAGGAGCGUGCUCCGCGAUGCUGAUCUCGCAACCGCCU
rnacentral:ncRNA from 1 species